UACGAAGGGUGCUAGCGUUGUUCGGAAUCACUGGGCGUAAAGGGCGCGUAGGCGGCUUUUCAAGUCAGAGGUGAAAUCCUGGAGCUCAACUCCAGAAUUGCCUUUGAAACUGGAAAGCUUGAGUGUUGGAGGGGAUAGCGGAAUUCCUAAUGUAGAGGUGAAAUUCGUAGAUAUUAGGAGGAACACCGGUGGCGAAGGCGGCUAUCUGGACAACAACUGACGCUGAGGCGCGAAAGCGUGGGGAUCAAACAGG
rnacentral:rRNA from 1 species